CAGGUGGUCAGGUAGAGAAUACCAAGGCGCUUGAGAGAACUCGGGUGAAGGAACUAGGCAAAAUGGUGCCGUAACUUCGGGAGAAGGCACGCUGACACGUAGGUGAAGUGGUUUACCCAUGGAGCUGAAGUCAGUCGAAGAUACCAGCUGGCUGCAACUGUUUAUUAAAAACACAGCACUGUGCAAACACGAAAGUGGACGUAUACGGUGUGACGCCUGCCCGGUGCCGGAAGGUUAAUUGAUGGGGUCAGCGCAAGCGAAGCUCCUGAUCGAAGCCCCGGUAAACGGCGGCCGUAACUAUAACGGUCCUAAGGUAGCGAAAUUCCUUGUCGGGUAAGUUCCGACCUGCACGAAUGGCGUAAUGAUGGCCAGGCUGUCUCCACCCGGGACUCAGUGAAAUUGAACUCGCUGUGAAGAUGCAGUGUACCCGCGGCAAGACGGAAAGACCCCGUGAACCUUUACUAUAGCUUGACACUGAACACUGGUCCUUGAUGUGCAGGAUAGGUGGGAGGCUUUGAAGUGUGGACGCCAGUCUGCAUGGAGCCAUCCUUGAAAUACCACCCUUUAAUGGCUGGUGUUCUAACGUGGGCCCGUGAACCGGGUUGCGGACAGUGUCUGGUGGGUAGUUUGACUGGGGCGGUCUCCUCCUAAAGAGUAACGGAGGAGCACGAAGGUUGGCUAAUCCUGGUCGGACAUCAGGAGGUUAGUGCAAUGGCAUAAGCCAGCUUGACUGCGAGCGUGACGGCGCGAGCAGGUGCGAAAGCAGGUCAUAGUGAUCCGGUGGUUCUGAAUGGAAGGGCCAUCGCUCAACGGAUAAAAGGUACUCCGGGGAUAACAGGCUGAUACCGCCCAAGAGUUCAUAUCGACGGCGGUGUUUGGCACCUCGAUGUCGGCUCAUCACAUCCUGGGGCUGAAGUAGGUCCCAAGGGUAUGGCUGUUCGCCAUUUAAAGUGGUACGCGAGCUGGGUUUAGAACGUCGUGAGACAGUUCGGUCCCUAUCUGCCGUGGGCGCUGGAAGAUUGAGGGGGGCUGCUCCUAGUACGAGAGGACCGGAGUGGACGCAUCACUGGUGUUCGGGUUGUCAUGCCAAUGGCACUGCCCGGUAGCUACAUGCGGAAGAGAUAAGUGCUGAAAGCAUCUAAGCACGAAACUUGCCCCGAGAUGAAUCUUCCCUGAGCCUUUAAGGCUCCUGAAGGAACGUUGAAGACGACGACGUUGAUAGGCCGGGUGUGUAAGCGCAGCGAUGCGUUGAGCUAACCGGUACUAAUGAACCGUGAGGCUUAACCUU
rnacentral:rRNA from 1 species